CCAGACUCCUACGGGAGGCAGCAGUGGGGAAUAUUGGACAAUGGGGGGAACCCUGAUCCAGCGACGCCGCGUGAGUGAAGAAGUAUUUCGGUAUGUAAAGCUCUAUCAGCAGGGAAUAGAAAAGAAGGUACCUGAAAAAGAAGCCCCGGCUAACUACGUGCCAGCAGCCGCGGUAAUACGUAGGGGGCAAGCGUUAUCCGGAUUUACUGGGUGUAAAGGGAGCGUAGACGGAAGGGCAAGUCAGAAGUGAAAGCCCAAGGCUCAACCAUGGGACUGCUGUUGAAACUGUCAAACUAGAGUACGGGAGAGGUAAGAGGAAUUCCUAGUGUAGCGGUGAAAUGCGUAGAUAUUAGGAGGAACACCGGCGGCGAAGGCGGCCUGCUGGACUGUAACUGACGUUGAGGCUCGAAAGCGUGGGGAGCAAACAGGAUUAGAUACCCCGGUAACC
rnacentral:rRNA from 1 species